AUUUCAUAUGUGGAAAUAGGUUCCUAAUUUUCAUUAGGAUUAAUAGGGAAGUCCGGUGUAAUUCCGGCACGGUCCCGCCACUGUAAUGGGAAUGUUAGCGUCAAUCAAUAUGCCACUGAUCAACGGAUCGGGAAGGCCAGCCGCUAAUGAUAUUCCCUAAGUCAGGAGACCUGCCUAUUUCGACAACACUGUU
rnacentral:ncRNA from 1 species